rnacentral:snRNA from 1 species
UCAUCAGAUAGGAGCGAAAGACUA